rnacentral:rRNA from 1 species
UGGGGAAUAUUGCACAAUGGGCGAAAGCCUGAUGCAGCGACGCCGCGUGAGGGAUGACGGCCUUCGGGUUGUAAACCCCUUUCAGCAGGGAAGAAGCGAAAGUGACGGUACCUGCAGAAGAAGCGCCGGCUAACUACGUGCCAGCAGCCGCGGUAAUACGUAGGGCGCAAGCGUUGUCCGGAAUUAUUGGGCGUAAAGAGCUCGUAGGCGGUUAGUCGCGUCUGCUGUGAAAACUCGAGGCUCAACCUCGGGCUUGCAGUGGGUACGGGCUGACUAGAGUGCGGUAGGGGUGACUGGAAUUCCUGGUGUAGCGGUGGAAUGCGCAGAUAUCAGGAGGAACACCGAUGGCGAAGGCAGGUCACUGGGCCGCAACUGACGCUGAGGAGCGAAAGCAUGGGGAGCGAACAGGAUUAGAUACCCUGGUAGUCCAUGCCGUAAACGUUGGGCACUAGGUGUGGGGUCCAUUCCACGGAUUCCGUGCCGCAGCAAACGCAUUAAGUGCCCCGCCUGGGGAGUACGGCCGCAAGGCUAAAACUCAAAUGAAUUGAC